rnacentral:rRNA from 1 species
CCUACGGGAGGCAGCAGUAAGGAAUAUUGGUCAAUGGAGGCAACUCUGAACCAGCCAUGCCGCGUGCAGGAAGACGGCCCUAUGGGUUGUAAACUGCUUUUGAACUAGAGAAAACCUUGGUACGUGUACCGAGUUGAUAGUAUAGUUAGAAUAAGCAUCGGCUAACUUCGUGCCAGCAGCCGCGGUAAGACGAAGGAUGCAAGCGUUAUCCGGAUUCAUUGGGUUUAAAGGGUGCGUAGGCGGACUGAUAAGUCAGUGGUGAAAUCUCUCAGCUUAACUGAGAAACUGCCAUUGAUACUGUUAGUCUAGAGUACAGAUGAUGUGGGCGGAAUAUGACAUGUAGUGGUGAAAUACUUAGAUAUGUCAUAGAACACCGAUUGCGAAGGCAGCUCACAAACUGUAACUGACGCUGAGCGACGAAGUAGCGGGAGUACAACAGAGUAGUAUACCUACGUAGUCGCACCGUAACGAUAGAUACUCGUUGUUGGUGAUAU